rnacentral:sRNA from 1 species
CUUUUGCACAUGGGUAUGUGAGUACUGUAGACAGUGAGCACAGGCACCCUUACUCUCGCACCUUUGACCACCUUCACACCCGAGAGCUGCCGUCAACCCUAAACUCUCUAUCCUAGCCCAGCGCUGCUGUUGUCCCUGUCCUUCGAGGCCCAGUGGUCACCUGGGUGACGCAUCUCUGCAGAGGGCCACAUCAGAGCAGGCUCAGCCUCAUUCUGCCACAGCCAUUUCCAUCACCACUCGCACUUGAUCUCUUUCACAUUUUAUAGAAUCGAUAAAUCUCAUCCCUAAAGAGUCCAGCAGGCCUUUGAUUCCUGACCUGACAUUUGCUAAUGCUAUUCCUGAUGACCUGCCACUACGGGUCUGCAGCACUGCACUCUGUGUUUGACAACACUCAUAAUAUGAAUCAAUAUUCAGCAUUCAGUCAGUGAGCCGGGAGUCAUUUCACUGCUGCAAAAGGCUGCGUUGCCCCCGGGCAGCUGUCAGAAAUGGGGAGUUAUUAAUAGCCCUCUCUCCUCACUUAGCAUAGUCAGUAGGGGUCAGGCAUGAAAUGAUUUAAUCAGUUUAUGAUAUCUGUGACAGAAAGCACUUAAAAUGUAAUCACAAAAUUUAGGUAGAAGUGUCCCUGGGCUGUUGUAAGACUUUUCCCACUUAAUUUCCCCUAAUCCCCAUACAGUGUAGUGCACACUGAAGACAGACCCUCCAACAAAGUGACAUGUAACCUGUGCUGGUGUUAUUUCUCCAUCAGAAAACACGCGUGCGCACGUGUGUGUGUGUGUGUGUGUAUGUCUCUCUGUGUGUGUCUCUUUGU